rnacentral:rRNA from 1 species
CGGAAAUUGUGAUUUUGGGGGGCCCCCGGGGGAGGGGAUUUUUGCCGAAUUUUACCUGGGGGGGAAAAGUGGGGGGGAACAGGUUUAGUACCUGGUAGUCCCCCGUAAAAAAUGAAGUUUAGUUUAGGGGUAUUGACCCUUUUGUGCCCCAGUAACACAAUAAGCACUUCCCCUGGGGAUUCCGCCGCAAAGUUGAAACUUAAAGAAAUUGAGGGGGGCCCGCACAAGGGGUGGAGCAUUGGUUAAUUUCGAGGCAACGCGAAGAACCUUACCAAGGCUGACAUCCCUCUGAACACUCGGAGACAGGUGGGGCUUCGGGACAGAGGAGACAGGUGGUGCAUGGUUGUCGUCAGCUCGUGUCGUGAGAUGUGGGUUAAGUCCCGCAACGAGCGCAACCCCUAUGUUCAGUUGCCAGCAAGUAAAGUUGGGGACUCUGGACAGACUGCCGGUGACAAACCGGAGGAAGGUGGGGAUGAGGUCAAAUCAUCAUGCCCCUUACGUCUUGGGCUACACACGUGCUACAAUGGACGGUACAGACGGCAGCGAAGCCGCGAGGUGGAGCCAAUCUGAGAAAGCCGUUCCCAGUUCGGAUUGUAGGCUGCAACUCGCCUACAUGAAGUCGGAAUCGCUAGUAAUCGCAGGUCAGCAUACUGCGGUGAAUACGUUCCCGGGCCUUGUACACACCGCCCGUCACACCACGAAAGUUUGCAACACCCGAAGCCGGUGGGGUAACCUCGCAAGAGGGGCUAGCCGUCGAAGGUGGGGUGGAUGAUUGGGGUGAAGUCGUAACAAGGUAA